AUGGCCCUGAAUCAAGGCUGGUGACUUGCUGUAGCUGCUGGUUUCAAGCAGGUGCCAAAAGUAACUCCUUCCCAUGGUCUGUUGACUAUGCUACUUGUCAUGGUGUAGCCAAUUCACUUGGAAGGAACAAUA